ACGAACGCUGGCGGCGUGCUUAACACAUGCCAGUCGAACGCUGAAGCUCAGCUUUUGUUGGGUGGAUGAGUGGCGAACGGGUGAGUAACACGUGAGUAACCUGCCCCCUUCUUUGGGAUAACGCCCGGAAACGGGUGCUAAUACUGGAUAUUCACUGGUCUUCGCAUGGGGGUUGGUGGAAAGGGUUUUUCUGGUGGGGGAUGGGCUCGCGGCCUAUCAGCUUGUUGGUGGGGUGAUGGCCUACCAAGGCUUUGACGGGUAGCCGGCCUGAGAGGGUGACCGGUCACAUUGGGACUGAGAUACGGCCCAGACUCAUACGGGAGGCAGCAGUGGGGAAUAUUGCACAAUGGGCGCAAGACUGAUGCAGCGACGCCGAGUGAGGGAUGGAGGCCUUCGGGUUGUGAACCUCUUUCGCUCAUGGUCAAGCCGCAACAAUGGUUGUGGUGAGGGUAGUGGGUAAAGAAGCGCCGGCUAACUACGUG
rnacentral:rRNA from 1 species